ensembl:lncRNA
GUGAGCCUUCGUUGAUCGAUGUGUACUAUGUACACGCACAGGUUCAAGGAUGCAGAAUGUGUCAUCAGAUUCCCGGGAAAUGGAUGUGUCAGGCACAUAGGUGCUGGGGAUCAAACUGAUCAUCUGCAAGAGCUGAAAUGUUCAAAUUUCUAUUCCCAUCCUUCCGCUGACUUAGUAUUACCUUCUCAGGAAGCAGCUCAAGUAUGAAGAAGACUAACUAACAAAAAUUAUCACCCCAAACUGUGGCUACCAGUUAAAUAACAGUGAAGAAUUCAAAAGGAAAGAUGAAUUUAUACGGGAACGUCUUGUCAAUGAAGCAUUCAUGUGGAACCUCUACAGGAACAGAAAGUCCACAGCAGGCCUCACAAAGAGAACUCUGGUAAGAUUAUCUCAACCAGCUGGUUCACCUGGAAGCUAGCUGAGUGGGAGAGCCACCUAACAUGAGGGCCUGGAAUAUAGGGGGUCUUCUUUAUGCUUAUAAACAUUGACAUUUUGGUCAAGGUAAGUUAUUUUCUUGUGAUAGAUUUUCCUAUGCCUUGUACAGUAACAGAAGCCUAGACUCCUGCCUAUCUGGUGUCAGUAGCAUUGCUCACAUCGAUUAUGUUUAAUUUUUCCUACAGUUACUUCUGUGUACCACAUGUGUGUCAGAUAUCCCUGGAGAGCAUAAAGAGGUGUCCUGUCCUCUAGGACUGUACUUAUAGAUGGCUGUUAGCUUCCAAAUGAUUGCUGGCACUCUGCAAGAGUAACACAUCCCCUUAGCCACUAAGCCCAUUCUCCAGUUCUAUAUUCUCUGAUGAUCAAACUAGGAACAUAUCAGCCACUUAUUUGGAACUGUCGGUAUAAUUCAUCUUGAAAGUGGUAAAAGAUUCUUCAGAACCUAGUAAAUAGUGGGCUCAACUUACUUUAAAAUUGUGACGUGUUUUGGUGUGGUGUUAGUGGUGGUGUGUGAGCAUGUAUGUGUGUGUGCAUGAGUGCAUGUGCACAUAUGUGUGUGUAUGUGUUUCUCUGUGUAUGCAUGUGCAUGCAAGCAUGCAUGUGUGCAUGUGUUUGUGUGUGUGUGUGUGUGUGUGUGUGUGUGUUGAGAGCUAGAAAGGAAACUAUAAAUCACGCCUAGAUUAAUAUUAACUGUCAAUUUUAUAACAUCUAGAACCAUCUGGGAAAGAGGUCUCUAAAGCAAGGCUAUGAAAUAAUUAAGUUGAAAUUACAGUACCUGAGGUGCUAGAGCACACAUUGUUGUUGAUGCCAUUCUCUGACUGGAAUGCUAAAUGGCUUACAUUGGAGAAGUAGUGAUGAGUACCAGGAGACAUUCACUCCCUGCUAUCUCUCUGCGUGUCUGAGUUUCUGACUGUGUCUCUCUGUGUCUCUGUGUGUAUCUUACUGUGAAUGCAAUAUAACAAGCAUCUUCAAGUCAUGCUGACUUGAUUCCUUGCCAUGAUGUGGGCAGGGAGGGAGGGAAAGAGCAA